UAGGGAAUUUUCGGCAAUGGGGGGAAACCCUGACCGAGCAAUGCCGCGUGAAUGAUGAAAUUCUUCGGAAUGUAAAAUUCUGUUGUGAGGGAAGAAAGGUAGUAUCAGGAAAUGGGUAUUACUUGACGGUACCUUACUAGAAAGCCCCGGCUAACUAUGUGCCAGCAGCCGCGGUAAUACAUAGGGGGCGAGCGUUAUCCGGAAUUAUUGGGCGUAAAGCGUGCGUAGGCGGCCGUUUAAGUCUGUCGUGAAAGCCCACAGCUUAACUGUGGAGGGUCGAUGGAAACUGGAUGGCUUGAAUCUAGAAGAGGUAAGUGGAAUUCCAUGUGUAGCGGUAAAAUGCUUAGAUAUGACGCAGAACCCCGAUUGCGAAGGCAGCUUUCCAGCACGCGACUGACGCUGAGGCACGAAAGCGUGGGGAGCGAACAGGAUUAGAUACCCUGGUAGU
rnacentral:rRNA from 1 species